rnacentral:rRNA from 1 species
CACGUAGGGGGCAAGCGUUGUCCGGAUUUACUGGGCGUAAAGCGCGCGUAGGCGGACGCUUAAGUGUGGCCUGAAAGCCCCCGGCUCAACCGGGGAGGGCGGCUGCAAACUGGGCGUCUUGAGGGCGAUAGAGGUCGGUGGAAUUCCUGGUGUAGCGGUGAAAUGCGCAGAUAUCAGGAGGAACACCGGUGGCGAAGGUGGGUCUCUGGGCCGAUACUGACGCUGAGGAGCGAAAGCGUGGGGAGCGAACAGG